rfam:Schistosoma mansoni strain Puerto Rico chromosome 4, complete genome
AUCUAGCUGACGAGUCCCAAAUAGAAGGAAACACGCGUCCUGUAU